ACACGACUACAUUAGAUACCCCUGUAGUCCCAGCCGUAAACGAUACUCGCUAGGUGUCGGCCACGGUGCGACCGUUGUCGGUGCCGUAGGGAAGCCGUGAAGCGAGCCACCUGGGAAGUACGGCCGCAAGGCUGAAACUUAAAGGAAUUGGCGGGGGUGCACAACAACGGGUGGAGCUUGCGGUUUAAUUGGAUUCAACGCCGGAAAUCUUACCGGGACCGACAGCAACAUGAAGGCCAAGCUGAAGACUUUGCCGGAUUAGCUG
rnacentral:rRNA from 1 species